AAUUUUUACACAAAGGUUUGGUCCUAGCCUUGAAAUCAGCUAUUAAUUAUCUUACACAUGCAAGUCUCCGCACACCCGUGAAAACGCCCUUUCACCCCUCAUGGGGUAAGGAGCUGAUAUCAGGCACAAAAUUGCCCAAAACAUCUAGCCACGCCACACCCACAAGGGCACUCAGCAGUGAUUAACUUUAAGAAUAAACGUCAGUUUGAUUUAGUCAAAUUAAUAUAGAGCCGGCCAAUCUGGUGCCAGCCGCCGCGGUUACACCACGGGGCUCAAACUGAUUUCUUUCGGCGUAAAGCGUGAUUAAAGAAACUACUUCUAGGGUUAAACUUAAAUUGAACUGUUAUACGUUUAUUUUAAGGAAAUUCUAAAUCGAAAGUUACCCCAUCACACCAACUUGAAUUCACGACAAUUAGGGAACAAACUGGGAUUAGAUACCCCACUAUGCCUAAUCGUAAACUUUAACUUACACCAUCAUCGCCAGAGGACUACGAGCAAAGCUUAAAACCCAAAGGACUUGACGGUACCCCACACCCUUCUAGAGGAGCCUGUCCCAUAAUCGAUAACCCGCGUUCAACCUCACCAUUUUUAGCUAAUCAGCCUGUAUACUUCCGUCGUCAGCCUACCGCAUGAGCGAAUUAGUAAGCCUAAUGUCACCCUCAAUACGUCAGGUCAAAGUGCAGCCUAUAAAAUGGCAGGAGAUGGGCUACACUUUCUAGGAUAGAAAACACAAAAGAAUGUAUGAAACUACACUCUGAAGGCGGAUUUAAUAGUAAGUGGAAAUAGAACAUUCCCCUUAACCUGGCACUGGGGUGUGUACACACCGCCCGUCACCCUCUUCAAUAAAAAUAUCUUAGUACUUAACAACCCACACAUCUACAGAAGAGGCAAGUCGUAACAUGGUAAGUAUACCGGAAGGUGUGCUUGGAAACAGAACAUAGCU
rnacentral:ncRNA from 1 species